UUUCGGCUAUAUCACGCCGAAAAUUCCAGUUCUAAUCUGAUCACCGAAGUUAAGCAGCGUCGAAUCUGAUUAGUACUGAGAUGAGAAACCGCUAAAGAAUAACAGGA